CUGGCAGUCAGGCAAUAGAAGGUAAUAUUCCAUGGGCAGGGGCUGCAGACUAAGGGAGAGGAGGGGAGAUUUUCAGGCCACCAUUACUCAUGACUCUACCUACCUCAUACAGAGUAACAUAGCAACAGUAAGUUACUAUGCUGCUGUGAGCAUCCUAGCCCAGAUGGAAUAAUGACAGGAGUGAAAUCUGAGAGCUGCUGUGUGAGGGACACUUAAUGGAGGCUUUGCUCUAUGGAAUGAGCUGAGCUGGGGUACAUGGAGCACUUAGUGGAUAUUGGUUCAACUAAGAAUCCUGGUGAUGCAUGCCACCCUUGGCAGGCUUCCAGUUCUCAGUGGCUCAGAUCUAUUCUUCUUGAGAAGACCAAGGCCUGACUCUUCUGUGCCACAGUGUCCUCAUCUGUCUCCUGGCCUGGGGUGCCCUCUCCAGAAGGCUGGGCCACGGCAGGUUUAUUACAUCACAGGCUGGAGAAAAUAAACUUUAACAUGGUUGCACUGGAAGAGGUGUGUACUUUUCAGAACAGCAAGAUUCUUGGUCUCCUGCAUCG
rnacentral:lncRNA from 1 species